GUUUGGAUUUAGUUUAGGUUCAAAAGAGCACGCACAGAUCCUGAGUGUUGUCAAGCACCCGUGACUGGGAAACAGAGGCGUCCGAUCCGUAUUGGAGUCAAUUCGCCACUUAAUUGAACACAGCCUCGAAGGGAAGGGCCAUAUUUGUGGGCCUGUCUAACAAUUAAGAGUGACCACAUGGAAUGGGGGAUGAAAGGGUUAAAGAAGAACAAAUAUUGAACACAGCUUUUCUAUGAACAAACUGCAGGCAGCUGCUGCUUUGCAAGAAAAACCCUUUGAAAAGAUUCAGCACGUUGCCAUGGAGAACAUCCCACUGAAGGAAUGUAUAGAAGUAGCAGGGUUAACUGAAUGCCUUCCAUCUUCCCUCCAAGGGAUCUGCAAUGAGAUGGGAGAAGGCAGCAGGCUGUGUGGGAACCACUGAAGCUGGGAUGGCAGGGAAAGAACAUCUUAGGCUAACUCUUCAAGCCUUGCUGCCACAUUUGCUUUUGAGUCUAUGGUGUCAGCUGCCUACCAGUUGCUUUCAUCUCUAGAAAUCUGUGACUUGCAGUAUGACAAGAACAAAAGGUGACAAUACAAAGGACAAAGGGCAAGGAAUACAGACGGAGAAGCCGCUUAGAGUCUAGGAUGGCAGAGGUUCUCUUGAUCAUUUCAUUUUUGAGCGCUUGUAGAGCUUUGGUGUACCAGAGGUGCUUGAACAGCUUACCACACCGCAGAUGAAUGGCCUUUGGAUUUCUCCUAAGAAAAUGUGGCUACCUGAAAUUCAACUCCAUUUUCUGGUCUUCAAUAUUUCUUUUGUGUUCAGUUUGCCAGCUGAGGAGAAGUGGCUAAGCAUAGCCUGUUACUGAUGCUAAAGCCCAAGUUCUGAACCUAACAACUCCAGCAACAUGAUCCUGUUUCAAAAGACAAAAAAGUGACUAAUGAAAGAAAACAAUUGAUGUGCUAUGUAGAGUUUAAAAGAAGGUAAAGAGAAUACGUUAAUUAAAAGCAACAACUCUC
ensembl:lincRNA